UCCCAGACUUGGCCGCGAUUGCUACGGC
rnacentral:piRNA from 1 species